rnacentral:rRNA from 1 species
CAGGAUUAGAUACCCUGGUAGUCCACGCCGUAAACGAUGAGUGCUAAGUGUUAGGGGGUUUCCGCCCCUUAGUGCUGCAGCUAACGCAUUAAGCACUCCGCCUGGGGAGUACGACCGCAAGGUUGAAACUCAAAGGAAUUGACGGGGGCCCGCACAAGCGGUGGAGCAUGUGGUUUAAUUCGAAGCAACGCGAAGAACCUUACCAGGUCUUGACAUCCUUUGACCACUCUGGAGACAGAGCUUUCCCUUCGGGGACAAAGUGACAGGUGGUGCAUGGUUGUCGUCAGCUCGUGUCGUGAGAUGUUGGGUUAAGUCCCGCAACGAGCGCAACCCUUGAUUUUAGUUGCCAGCAUUUAGUUGGGCACUCUAAAGUGACUGCCGGUGCAAGCCGGAGGAAGGUGGGGAUGACGUCAAAUCAUCAUGCCCCUUAUGACCUGGGCUACACACGUGCUACAAUGGAUAGUACAAAGGGUCGCGAAGCCGCGAGGUGGAGCUAAUCCCAUAAAACUAUUCUCAGUUCGGAUUGUAGGCUGCAACUCGCCUACAUGAAGCCGGAAUCGCUAGUAAUCGUGGAUCAGCAUGCCACGGUGAAUACGUUCCCGGGCCUUGUACACACCGCCCGUCACACCACGAGAGUUUGUAACACCCGAAGUCGGUAGGGUAACCUUUAUGGAGCCAGCCGCCGAAGGUGGGACAGAUAAUUGGGGUGAAGUCGUAACAAGGUAGCCGUAUCGGAAGGUGCGGCUGGAUCACCUCCUUU